UACAGAGGGGGCAAGCGUUGUUCGGAAUUACUGGGCGUAAAGGGCGCGUAGGCGGCCUGUUAAGGCGAACGUGAAAUCCCCGGGCUCAACCCGGGAACUGCGUCCGAAACUGGCAGGCUCGAAUUCGGGAGAGGGAUGCGGAAUUCCAGGUGUAGCGGUGAAAUGCGUAGAUAUCUGGAGGAACAUCGGUGGCGAAGGCGGCAUCCUGGACCGGCAUUGACGCUGAGGCGCGAAAGCCAGGGGAGCAAACGGG
rnacentral:rRNA from 1 species